rnacentral:rRNA from 1 species
CUACGUAGGUGACAAGCGUUAUCCGGAUUUACUGGGCGUAAAGGGCGUGUAGGCGGUCUUGCAAGUCAGAAGUGAAAUUCCUGAGCUCAACUCGGGCGCUGCUUCUGAAACUGCAGGACUUGAGUGCUGGAGGGGAUAGCGGAAUUCCUAGUGGAGCGGUAAAAUGCGCAGAAAUUAGGAAGAACACCGGUGGCGAAGGCGGCUAUCUGGGAAGUAACGGACGCGGAGGCGCGAAAGCGGGGGGAGCAAAAAGGAUUAGAUACCCGGGUAGUCAACGCCGUAAACGAUGAAUACUAGGUGUAGGGGGUAUCGACUCCCUCUGUGCCGCAGUUAACACAAUAAGUAUUCCGCCUGGGGAGUACGGCCGUAAGGUUGAAACUCAAAUGAAUUGACGGGG